UGCAGCCAAUAGGCCCUUGAUUGCUGCAGCACCAACCAGCUUCAAUGGGCAAAUUGCUUUAAUGCACCUCCUAGAUCGUGGUCUACCCUUUGUUCAAAAGCUGCUUUUUCCUACUAGCUGGUCCUUAGCUAUAUCGCAGUUUUCCAAUGUGUGUUUGCAGUUGUUUCUUUUGCAGCUAAUCAUGUCGAAAGUGGCUGGAUGCCCCCUACUGCCAUUAUUUGCUCAGUUAUUUCCAGAUGCAUUGGUAUUGAACACCACUUGACUGCCAGCAAAUACUGGUACCUUCUUAGCAAGAGACCCAUGCCUUCCAUCGUCUUUGAGAUAGUACUAUGAUUUGUGGAGCCUGUAACACCUGAGUUUAUAAUUCCACCAAGGGCUUUUGUCAACUGAAACUCAUGCCAAGCCACUACCCUCUGCAAGCCUCUCUUCUCAGCCUUCAAAUGAUUACUCUCUGCCAACUAACAAGUUUUGCUGGUCUCUUCCUAUUUAAAAACCAAAUUUCCUACUGAUUCAGCAAUGAAGUCUCAGUCUCUAAUGGUCUGAAGGAUGCCUCAGGGUCUCAGUUCAUUUGUAAAGCAAAGGUCAAUGAAAUACUCAGAGCCAAACCUUUUCAAGCCCAGAUUAUCACCUGAUACUUCCUCAGGAGCCAGAAAUAUAUUACUGAGGGACUUCCCUGGUGGCACAGUGGUUAAGAAUCCACCUGUCAAUACAGGGGACACAAGUUCGAGCCCUGUUCCAGGAAGAUCCCACAUGCCAUGGAGCAUCUAAGCCCGUGUGCCAAACUACUGAGCCUGUGUGCCACAACUACUGAAGCCCACGCGCCUAGAACCCGUGCUCUGCAACAAGAGAAGCCACUGCAAUGAGAAGGCCGUGCACCGCAACGAAGAGUGGACCCCGCUCACCACAACUAGAGAAAUCCCACGUGCAGCAACAAAGACCCAAUGCAGCAAAAAAUUUUAAAAAUAGAUAAAUAAUAUUUUUAAAAAAGAAAUACAUUACUGAGAUUGUAAUUACCACAAAAAAGAGAAAUGUACUUGUUUAAUGAAGUGGAUGACAUUUUACUUGCUCUGGGCUAGGAUAAACAAUAUCCAUUAAGUGUUUGGGACUUGCUCGUAACCUUGGUAAAAUAAAAAUCAGUAAGUUUUUUUUCCUUGUGAAUUGGGGGAAAAAGAGAAUGAAAGAGCACGUAGAUCUCACUUUUAUGAUUGCUUAGGGCUCUGACCUCCAUAUUAUAAUCACUGAUUAAAUAUAGUAAUUUUAUAUU